UCAAUCUUUACCACGCUCCUUUCAGUGACAUAAGCACCUUAGUGACUGAUACUCCCACUUUUGGCUGCUUCCGAAGCAGCUAAGAACUGGUUUAGAGAGGCUACGUUACAGAAAGGGUGAGACCAA
rnacentral:antisense_RNA from 1 species